rnacentral:lncRNA from 1 species
AAGGCAGCCUGCGAGCAGCCCCUGGAGCACAGGCUGGGCUGGCGGUGGAGGAGAGCGGAGCCAAGCUGCUGCCAAUACCAUCUCCAGCCCACAGGAAAGAACCUCGGCGGAAAGCGAGGAGGCAGAACAAUUGUGUGAACUUAGCUCCGGUUCUCACCCGCGAACAUCUGGCCACCGCGUCAUGUGUCAUUUAUUUGAUUCAAACCUGAUCUGGGAUUACGCACCGUGACACUCUCUUCAAGAGGGCCGGGAAGGACGCCAUCAGAGACGAGGGAGCACAGAAUCACCUCAGUAGCAGAACAGUGGAGCGGCUGAGAAGCUGGGUUUCUGAAAUCACCCAUUCACGAUGUCCAUAAUCCUGCCCACUCUUUUAAGGGGGACAUCAAAUAAAAGCUGGAAGCCAAGAGGUCUCUGGGAAAGCCCUCCUGUUGAGAACCGCAGGAAAAACCAACCGCGGAGGAGGAUGUCAUCUUGGGAUUGGCCCUUCGGAGGGAAGAGCACUGCUUUAAACAGUGUGUUUGCAAACACAGAUGUCAGGGACAGGCAGUUUAUUUUUAGAGUUCCGCAUAUCACAUUUCCCCACACUGAUUCCCUUUCUUAUCUUUUUCUGCAUCAGAACAGCCAAACAGGAUUCGAGUGAUGCUUUGAGAUGGCUCAGUUCCCUGCAUUGUGUCUAGAGCCUCGAAUGCAGCAGACGCUUAGCUCCAACGUGGCUGUAGUGGCUUCAUCCUCACAACUUCGGUCUUUGAACUGGAAGACUUUGGAUAACCGUCUCGUGGGCUUAUUCGCUGGCAGUUACAAAUCAGUCUGGUGGUAAUUAUGCCUGCAGAUCAGCUAUUAAGUUUAUGUGCUUGUCAAAAUUUGACUCUAUGCUCCAUUGAAAUGUAAUUAGAGCCACUUAGAGCUGGUCAGACGCCAAUCUUAAGACUCUGACUGAUCUUGAUGACUACAGGAUUCGUGUUCAGCUCACCCUGGGACACCCUUCCGCUAUUCCACAGACAUCAGGGACUGGGAGAGCAGGACACCAAGCUGAAAGGAAUUGAAAGCCCUGAGGAGCCAAGGAAAUCCAGGGAGGUCAGACGCCAAGUCUUACAUUUCCUCUGGGCAGAAGCUACUGAUGGCAGGAUUUUAGAUUGGAGGAGACUGGGCUGGCAUACCAUACAGGGAUUGAACUCAGCUUUGUCAAGCUUGGUGGCAGUCACCUUUACCUGCUGAGCCAGCUCAUCAGCCCAUGAUCUAUCUACCUUUGUAAAAAUAUGAAAAGGAGAAAACUGGAGCUGAAGAUGUGACUUAUAGGUUAAAAGCACUUGCCACUCUUUCAGAGGACCCAGGUUCAGUUCCUAUCGCUCACAUGGUGACUCACGACCAUCUGUAACCCCAGCUUCAGAGGAUCUGAUACCCUCAUCUGGCCUCCACGAACACCAGGCACUCACGUGGUGCACAUACAUGUAUGCAAGCAAAGCAUUCAUAUGUAUAAAAUAAAAAUUAAUAAAUCCUUUCUUGAAAAUCCUUCAUUUUGCUGAUGGGAUAUACUUGCAUUUUAAUAGUAUUUUUUUGUAAAAUUAAAAAAUAUUAGAUUGUAAUACAAAAGAUGGAAUCAACUCCUCUUGGUUGUUCUUUAUAUGAGUGCCUUGGUACUCAAGGACCUACCGAUUGCUAUUAAAUAAAUGUUUA